rnacentral:rRNA from 1 species
AUUGAACGCUGGCGGAAUGCUUUACACAUGCAAGUCGAACGGCAGCACGGACUUCGGUCUGGUGGCGAGUGGCGAACGGGUGAGUAAUGUAUCGGAACGUGCCCAGUCGGGGGGGAUAACGUAGUGAAAAUUACGCUAAUACCGCAUACGAUCUAUGGAUGAAAGCGGGGGAUCGGAAGACCUCGCGCGAUUGGAGCGGCCGAUAUCAGAUUAGGUAGUUGGUGGGGUAAAGGCCCACCAAGCCAACGAUCUGUAGCUGGUCUGAGAGGACGACCAGCCACACUGGAACUGAGACACGGUCCAGACUCCUACGGGAGGCAGCAGUGGGGAAUUUUGGACAACGGGCGAAAGCCUGAUCCAGCCAUUCCGCGUGCAGGAUGAAGGCCCUCGGGUUGUAAACUGCUUUUGUACAGAACGAAAAGGUUUCUACUAAUACUAGGAGCUCAUGACGGUACUGUAAGAAUAAGCACCGGCUAACUACGUGCCAGCAGCCGCGGUAA